UACGGGGGGGGCAAGCGUUGUUCGGAAUUACUGGGCGUAAAGGGCUCGUAGGUGGCCAACUCAGUCGGACGUGAAAUCCCUCGGCUUAACCGGGGAACUGCGUCCGAUACUGGAUGGCUUGAGAUCGGGAGAGGGAUGCGGAAUUCCAGGUGUAGCGGUGAAAUGCGCAGAGAUCGGGAGGAACACCCGUAGCGAAGGCGGCACUCUGGGCCGGUACUGACGCUGAGGAGCGAAAGCGUGGGGAGCAAACAGG
rnacentral:rRNA from 1 species